CUUUAGACAGAACAGAGCAAGGUUCAUUUCAUCAUGCCAUAUCUCAAACAUCAACAACCUAGGUAGCAUGCUUUCCUAAAGAUAUAGGUUCACAAGCAAACAGGUGCAAGAAAAGAAUAUAGAACAGGUACGCCAACCAUAAGGAGCAUGUUUUCAGCCAAGGUUCAUUUUUAAUUCUGAGUUUCAUUUUUAAUGAUAAGGGAUGAGAUUCAUUUAAACUCAUGAACCA
rnacentral:lncRNA from 1 species